rnacentral:rRNA from 1 species
GACGAACGCUGGCGGCGUGCUUAACACAUGCAAGUCGAGCGGUAAGGCCCUUUCGGGGGUACACGAGCGGCGAACGGGUGAGUAACACGUGGGUGACCUGCCCUUAGCUCUGGGAUAAGCCUGGGAAACUGGGUCUAAUACCGGAUAUGACUCCAUGACGCAUGUUGUGGGGUGGAAAGCCUUGUGCGGCUAGGGAUGGGCCUGCGGCCUAUCAGCUUGUUGGUGGGGUGAUGGCCUACCAAGGCGACGACGGGUAGCCGGCCUGAGAGGGCGACCGGCCACACUGGGACUGAGACACGGCCCAGACUCCUACGGGAGGCAGCAGUGGGGAAUCUUGCGCAAUGGGCGAAAGCC